AUGGCAGCAAAGCAAAGGUCAAGGCCAUAGGGGCUUGUAACAGUUAAUUAUUGUGAGUAUGGCAUAGACAAUAGUGGAGACUGUAAUCGUAGACGAUCUACUCUGGGGGGCAUGUGAGUAUGGCAGCUAGUCAAAGGUCAAGGUCAUAUGGGCUGGUUACAGUUAAUUAUUGUGAGUAUGACAUAGACGAUAGUGAGGACUGUAACCAGAUGGUCUGCUAUGGGGAGCAUGUGAGUAUGGCAGCAAGUCAAAGGUUAAGAUCAUAGGGGCUUGUAACAGUUAAUUAUUGUGAGUAUGGCAUAGACAAUAGUGGAGACUGUAAUCGUAGACGAUCUACUCUGGGGGGCAUGUGAGUAUGGCAGCAAGUCAUAGGUUAAGAUCAUAGGGGCUUGUAACAGUUAAUUAUUGUGAGUAUGGCAUAGACAAUAGUGGAGACUGUAAUCGUAGACGAUCUACUCUGGGGGGCAUGUGAGUAUGGCAGCUAGUCAAAGGUUAAGAUCAUAGGGGCUUGUAACAGUUAAUUAUUGUGAGUAUGGCAUAGACAAUAGUGGAGACUGUAAUCGUAGACGAUCUACUCUGGGGGGCAUGUGAGUAUGGCAGCUAGUCAAAGGUUAAGAUCAUAGGGGCUUGUAACAGUUAAUUAUUGUGAGUAUGGCAUAGACAAUAGUGGAGACUGUAAUCGUAGACGAUCUACUCUGGGGGGCAUGUGAGUAUGGCAGCAAGUCAUAGGUUAAGAUCAUAGGGGCUUGUAACAGUUAAUUAUUGUGAGUAUGGCAUAGACAAUAGUGGAGACUGUAAUCGUAGACGAUCUACUCUGGGGGGCAUGUGAGUAUGGCAGCUAGUCAAAGGUUAAGAUCAUAGGGGCUUGUAACAGUUAAUUAUUGUGAGUAUGGCAUAGACAAUAGUGGAGACUGUAAUCGUAGACGAUCUACUCUGGGGGGCAUGUGAGUAUGGCAGCAAGUCAAAGGUUAAGAUCAUAGGGGCUUGUAACAGUUAAUUAUUGUGAGUAUGGCAUAGACAAUAGUGGAGACUGUAAUCGUAGACGAUCUACUCUGGGGGGCAUGUGAGUAUGGCAGCAAGUCAAAGGUUAAGAUCAUAGGGGCUUGUAACAGUUAAUUAUUGUGAGUAUGACAUAGACGAUAGUGGGGACUGUAACCAUGCACAGUCUGCUAUUGGCAGCAUGUGAGUAUGGCAAAGAGAAUCUCUGUUGAUUUCUGUUCUCAGAUCAUGUUAUAAUUUCAUGUGUUGUCAAAUAAAAAAAUAUUUUCAUAAGCUACAAGUGAAAAUAUUUAUGUGCGAGUAGGAGUUUUAUUGUUACCGGGUAAAUAUGAAUUUCUUUGAUUCUUAUUGACUUUUGUGGUCAACAAGUCAAAGGAGUGUGUAACAGGUAACUCUUUUCCGCACAAUAUCUUGGGAAUGCUUUGACCUUCGAUCCUGUAAAUUGGUAUUGUGGUUUCUUGGAUGGAAAGAAAGACUCCUAUUAGUUUUGAAGUCAUCUGGUCCAAAGGUCAAGGUCACAGAGGCUUGUAUCAUGAAAUGAUUUCUUGUCAAUAUUUGGAGAGAGCGUCUUUAACUAAUUAUCAUCUAGAUUUGUAUGCUGGCAGCAAACAAGAUGGCUAAUUAAUUUAUGCUAAUUAUACCACCGCAAACGAAGUUUAGGGGGGUAUAUAGGAGUGAGCUCAUCUGUCUGUCGGUCUGUCUUUCGGUCCGUAUUAAGUGUCCGCUCUCUAAUUCGAGUUGUUUUCAUCCGAUUUUCACCAAACUUGUUUAUUUUGAGAUCAAAGGGUCUUAAAUAAAGGUUACAUGGGCUUGUGAAAUUUAAUUGUUUCAGUAAUAUUUAGACAAUUCUAAGGAACAUUUAAACUAGUAUGACUCCUAGUAUUUUUCAAAUAAAGAGAUUAAAGGUCGAUCAUAUUCACAAGGACGUUCUUACUGCAAGUUUGGGGCAUACACACAUCUGUUGUUUUCUAGGAUCACAAAUGAGAUUAUAAAAUGUUCUUCACUUGAAAUUAACACAUUUUUCUUUUUCAAUAUGUUUUCCGAGUCGAAGUCUAAUUAUAAGAUUGGUGUAUGUGGGUGGGUGGAGUCAAAAAUAUUGUUUCCUGUAAAUAACGUCAGUUUGUAUUAAUCAUGAUGAAACAAAUGAUAUACAGUGUAGCAAGCUUUCAUAAGGUACAUGCAAAUGGGAAUUAUUCUUUUGUGGAUUAUUGAAUCAAUGUCAAGGUCGCUGUUACUAAAAGAGAAAAAUGGUUUCUGUUAAAUUACUUCGCUUAAGUUGGAGGGAGGUAUUGUGUACAGAAUUAUGCUGUAAGUGUGUGUGUAGGUUGCAUACAUGGUAAUUGUUAAGAUUAUUAUAAGAUUAUGUUUCGGACCUGUAGGGUCAAGUUCUCUUUAAAUAGAAGAGCAGCAAACAAGUGGGUUGAGGUAAAUCACCUAAGUUUGUAGCAUCCUGUGCUUUUUAUGAAACUUUGGAUAAAGAAAAAUUGCAUGGAGACAUAGCUUCGGAUUGCAUUUUGAGUUAGUUGGGUCAAGGUGAAGGUCACCAUUACUAAAAAUUUAAAAAUGAUUUUGCUCCAUAACAUUAUGUUUGAUUGAGGUAUUUUACUUAAAGUUUGUGAUGGUUAGUUUCAGUGCAGCUUGGCAUUUCAUUAGGGGGCAGUUCGGGUCAAGGGCAAGUUUCUGUGUCUUUAUAUAGGAGUAUGGACUCUAAAUACUUGUAUUUUGGAUGGAGCUAGAUCUGGCACUGAAAAUGUGUGUAGCCUAUAGGUAGCUGACAUGCAAACUUAGCUUGGGAUUGAAUAUGGUGCCAGUCUGGUUUAGGAAAAUUUCAAAGUUACUGAAAAAAUAAAAAAAAACAGUUUCAACUCAAUAACUUAAGUUUGGAUGAAGUUAUUGUACUGAAAUUGUAUUGUGUGUGGGUAGCUUACAUGCCAAUUUAGGUAGGAAUUACAUUUUGACAGAAACUUAAAGAUAGAAAAAGGUAAGCAUUAUACGAGCAUGGUAUUGGCGCAAUAUUGUCAAAAUUAAAGUAAAUUAAUCAUGAAAACAUUGAAAACCUGGUCUCAAGCCCUUCCAAUUUUUAUGCCCCCAUUAGGGUGGCAUAUAGCAGUUGAACUGUCUGUCAGUAUGUGAGUCAGCCUGUCCGUCCGUCCCAAAAAACUUUAACAUUGGCCAUAACUUUUUCACUAUUGAAGAUAGCAACUUGAUGUUAGGCAUGCAUGUGUAUGUCAUGGAGCUGAACAUUUUGAGUGGUGAAAGGUGAAGGUGAAUGUCAUCCUUCAAGGUCUAAUGUCAAAUAUAUUGCGUCUGUCCAUCCGAAAACUUUAACAUUGGCCAUAACUUGUUUAAUAUUGAAGAUAGCAACUUGAUAUUUGGCAUGCAUGUGUAUCUAAUGAAGCUGCACAUUUUGAGUGGUGGAAGUUCAAGGUCAAGGUCAUCCUUCAAGGUCAAAGGUCAAAAAAUAAAUUCAAAGCGGCAUUCUCAUGAAGCUGCACAUUUUGAGUGGUGGAAGGUCAAGGUCAUCCUUCAAGGUCAAAGGUCAAAAAAUAAAUACAUUGUUUUUUCAAAGCCGUGUUCUCAUGAAGCUGCACAUUUUCAGUGGUGGAAGUUCAAGGUCAAGGUCAAUUUUUUUAUUUUUUUUUUAAAGCGGCAAUCUCAUGAAGCUGCACAUUUUGAGUGGUGGAAGCUCAAGGUCAAGGUCAUCCUUCAAGGUCAAAGGUAAAAAAAAAAAAAAAAUCAAAGCGGGUUCAUGAAGCUGCACAUUUUGAGUGGUGGAAGUUCAAAGUCAAGGUCAUCCGUUAAGGUCAAAGGUCAUUUUUUUUCCUUUUUUUUUUCAAAGCGGCGCAAUAGGGGGCAAUGUGUUUUUGACGAACACAUCUCUUGUUGUUGUCUAUUAUUAAAUCAGUUGUGUUACCUCUAUCGUUCUAUGCAUCAAGAUGCAUUUUAAAACACUUACGUACA